GGGUGCUCUGGAUCUUUGUAUCUGGAGCCAAAAGCCAAGGUGAUGGAUACAAAGAGAAAAGCCCCGAGUCGAUAACAUCAACCCGAGGCCAACUCUAACGCCAGACAACGUUAGGUUAGCUUCUUACCUGCCGAGAGGCAAGGAGAAGGAAACGCAAUG
rfam:Serratia fonticola strain DSM 4576, complete genome.